UGAUAAAAAUAUUAAACGGCCGCAGUACUUUGACUGUGCUAAGGUAGCGUAAUCAGUUGGCUUUUAAAUGGAGUCGAGAAUGAAUGGGUUUUCGGGAAUUAACUGUCUCUAUUAAAUUAAUUUUAACUUACUUAAGGGGUGAAAAUUCCCCUUUGUAGAAAAAAGACGAGAAGACCCUAAGAGUUUUAACUACACUUUACAUAUGUAUGAGAAGUUUUUGCUGGGGCGGCAAGGAGACAGAAAUAUAUAACUCUCCUAUCAAGUUUUUAGAAGACGUAUAUAUAAAGAAACAAGAAACUACCUUAGGGAUAACAGCAUAAUUUAUUAUAAGUUUGUGACCUCGAUGUUGGACUAGGGACUUUACGGCUAGCAGUCGCAAGAGCAGGUUCUGUUCGAACUUCAUUACCCU
rnacentral:rRNA from 1 species